rnacentral:sRNA from 1 species
CUUAGAAAGAAAACGUGCAGGAUGAGAACCUGCCGCAGGUUCGGGUCGAACGCAGUGAGACAACGUUGUGAACAACGGCCCGCAGGGCGAGCGAAGCGAGUCAUCCUGCACGACCCACCA